CGUCUGAUGCUGUUCCUGGGAUCUGUUUUAGACACUGCUCCAGUUUGAGGUUGACUGCCCCGAGGGCCCCUGCAGUCCUCGGCCCUGUAGACACAGGGUGAAUCCAAGCAACCUGCGGCCUCUUUGCCGGGAGUACCGGACUCCAGAAGAUGGUGUAGACCCGCUGAUUUCUGCCACAAUCAGUUUGAAUCAUGGACAAGUGGUUUGGGCGACUCCAGCAUUAUUAAUGAACUUGUACCCUGGAUCUGCGGCUAUUUUAAUGCUCCAAGGAUGUCGGGCUCCGGUGGAGGUACAGUGACUGUUUUUAAAAGUUGUUUUACUUGUAAACAGUUCCCUCUGGCCUUGUUUAGUAGCUUUGAGAUUAAUCUAUUUGAACUCGUUAGCUCUCACACUGUGCUUUGUGAGGUGGUCUAUCAGCCACCAAAGUACAACAAAAACUUUUUAAAUGACUUUUCUGAUUUCUUGGCUGAUAUCAUGCCAAGGUAUGACUGAGUUCUCAUUGUUGAUUUUAAUAUUAAUGUCUGUUGUCCUACUUCACUUAUGGCUCAGUCAUUUCUUAAUGUUAUCGAUUCAGCCACCAACAAAUCACUUCCCAUGAUGGUACCUCCAGCACUUCACUCUCUGUUCCCUAUUGUCUGAGACAUUCGCUGAGCACAUCGUCUGUUGAGGCCUUGUCCUUGAUGUAUUUAUGGAUCUUGGAUGUUUUGUCCUGGACAGUGGCUCUCACACUCACUUGUCCUCUGCCUCCUUCCUUGGGGCUCGUGUACAGUCAGAGUGCUGGAUUUUCGGUGGAACACUCCAUGUAUGGUUAGUAGCUUCUUAGUCUUAACAUCCGUGGGGUUUAUCUACUCCUUUGGCCAGCUAAUUAUUUAUUUAUUUAUUGUCACGCCCAGCUCAAAGGCGAUGACAAAAAUGGGAGAGAGACGAGCGGCUCUAUAGAAACAAUAAUUUAUUUUAUGAAAAACUAUGCUCUGGGAGAUCUGCACAGCCAGUCAGAGAGAAGUGUGAGCCAAUACUGCUCGUUCCGGCCUGGUCCGGAGGGCAAUCAAGCAGACUAGUGACUAACUAGAUGUCAGUAUUCAUCAGCUGCCGGUGUAUUCAAUUAACAGUCCAUCUACCUGCUUCCUGAAAAGAAACAAGAAAAAAGAUGUAGUGGACUAUAGACACCUACUGAACAGGAGGGGAUCAUCACAUUCCCCCACCCCAUAAAAAUGGAGUCCCUACAGGAACUCCAAAAGGACACAGCAAUUUAAGUGAACAACUAGGUGACAUUUACAAUACUAACAGACUUUGCAGUCUUACCAUAACCACCCAUUCAGUCCCCACCUCAACAGCUCAGCCACCCUAGACACUGGAAAAGCCUAUACAAAACUUGGAGAGAAGGGGAAUGAAAAUUAAAUACAUUAAAUCUAAGCAUAUGGUGCUCUGGAUAAAGCAUCUGCCACAAUAAUAUCCGAACCCCUAAUAUGGCGGAUAUCCAGGCAAUAGGGCUGCAAAAACAACAUCCAUCGCAUCAAUCUCCGAUUCGGACACUGCAAUGAAUGCAAAAAUGUUACGGGGUUGUGAUCAGUAUGGACCACCAGAUGAACAUUGCCAGAAUCCAGAUAUAUUUCAAAAUGCUGUAAAGCCCAAAUUAGUGCCAAUGUCUCUUUUUCAAUGACAGAAUGGUUCACUGGAAAUGGUUGAAUUUUUUAGAGUAGAAACUCACAGGUCGAUCAACCCCCAUCAUCAUCUUGCUGAAAUAAGGCAGCACCUGCAUCUACAUCACUUGCAUCCACAUGCAGGUCAAAAGGAUGAUCCAGUCGUGUAGCUGCAAGAACAUAGGAGGAACAGAGGACAGAUUUGACAUCAUCAAAAGCUUUCUGACAGGAAGCUGACCAGGUGUACUUCACUUUAUUCUUCAGUAAAUCUGUCAAUGGAGAAACUGCAGUAGAAAAGUUCUUACAAAAACUGCAGUAGUACCCCACAAGACCCAGGAACCGCUGGAGUUCUUUUUUUGUUGGUACGGGAUACUGCAAAAUUGCAAUUACUUUGGCUUCCACUGGACACACCAUCCCUUGCCCCACCACCUUACCCAGAUAGGUAACAGUGGCCUUAGCAAACUCACACUUGGACAAGUUAAUGGUCAGGUGUGCUUCAGCCAGUCGUUCAAACAGCUUACAUAUAUGAGCCAGAUGUUACUUCCACGUAUCACUAAAGACCACCACAUCAUCCAAAUAUACGGCACACCCUUCCAACCCAGACAACCAUGUUCAUGAGAUGCUGAAAGGUUGCCGGUGCAUUUCGCAAUCCGAAACUCAUUACAGAGUAAGAGAACAGACAAAAGGGAGUUUGGUCUGUUAUAUACUGGAUCUCUCUAGCUCUCUCAGACAAUGGCACUUGCCAGUAACCCUUCAAUAAGUCAAAUUUGCUGACAAACUGAACUGAUCCCACCUGAUCAACACAGUCUUCCAUGACUGGCAGAGGAUAAGCAUCAGAUUUUGUAACAAUGUUCACUUUCCAGUAAUCUGUACAAAAUCUAAAACUUUUGUUAGCCUUCUCCACCAAGAAACAAGGUGAUGCCCAGCUAGAUGCAGAUGGUUCAGCAAUACCAUUAUCAAGCAUGUACCAAAUCUCCCCCUCCAUUACCUUCCGCUUCUCUUCAGAUAUCCUGUAAAAGCUCUGGCGAAUCGGCUGUGCCUCACCUACAUCGAUAUCAUGUUGGAUUAAGUGAGUUCGACUGGGCACAUCAUCAAACAAACAAUGAUGCUCAUUAAACAUAGCAGUCAACUCAGUGCCCCCCUCAUGAGACAAAUGUGCAAAUAAAGAAUCCAAAUUCCUCAGUGCAUCAGAAUUUUUAAGCCUGCCAGUCAACAAACUCUCAUUAGGUGGAAUCACCCCAUUGUUUUCAAGUGCACACAAGAAACCCACAGAACAGCUCACAUAAUUCCUGUUUUGGCCUCACUGCAUUGACUUCCUGUAUAUUUUAGGACUCAUUUUAAAAUUUUGGUCUUGACUUUUAAGGCUUUUCAUGGUGAGGCUCCCAAAUAUAUACUGGAUCUUUUAAAGCCUCUCUGUCCACCUAGGACUUUGAGAUCUUCUAAUCAGAUGUUGGUGACGGUACCCAGAACUUAUUUUAAAACCAGUGGUAAUAGAGCAUUUCAGGUACUGGCCCCGUAGCUGUGGAACGUUCUCUCUCUAACAUUGCGCUGCUCUGAUUCCACUUUGACUAUGUCAUUUAUAUACAAAUUGAAUAAUUUGGGUCCCAACACUGGUCCCUGCAGAACCCCACAAGUUAUGUUUAGUAAAUCUGAUUUCUGAUUAUCUAAUUCUACAAAUUGUUUCCUUUGUCCAAUGUAGCUUCUAAGCUAGUUUAAUAUAUCCCUGUAAUUCCAUACCUUUCCAGUUUUUUUUUUUAGUAAGAUGUCAUGAUUGAUGGUAUCAAAGGUUUUUUUUGAGAUCUAGAGAAUACACUUGUAGAGCUUUGGAACAUAUCGUCACUGCUGUAGACGGAGGGAUAUCAGCGCCAUCUUUGGGGGCCAUAAACAUAACCGACAAAAACAAUAUUCUCGCAGAUUUUUUGAAUCUAAGUUACUUAAAAUAAUUUAGCUAUGGUACGAACUUGCUGCGUUAUUGAAUGUAAUGUCCGAUCACACGACUGAAACGGUAAAAAGAUGGAAAAUGGACUUUCAUUUCACUAUUUUCCUGCUGGGAAACAAUGCGAGGAGGCUAAGCUAUCGGAGCUAACGAAAAGAAAACGAAUAUCCUGGGUGUCAGCGGUUGAGACGUCCUGAUAUUACGUUCUCCGACUUCCCCAGAUACCUACAAGUUUGCUCCAGACAUUUCCAUUCUGGUGAGUGUCUAAAUUUGCUUUGUUGGUGUUGUGUCAUAAUUUUUUUUGCUAUGAUUUUGUCCAAGUGUACUCAUGUUCAGCUUAUGUUGAAUUCAUUUAAGUGGGUCAACCUUGUUUAGGUCGGGCUUAUAUUGUUUAUGUAGCUUAUGAGUUUUGUCAGUGGACAUAGAGGUUAUUCCAUUAUUGUGAAGUAAACUAUUUAAGUUUUCUAGUGUUAUCAAAUUUACAGCAUUAAUGCUGAUGUGUGUUCUGAUAUGUCCUCUUCAAGGCAAGCUGACCUAUGAAAUGGAUUAGCUCAAUCCUGACUGGGUUCCAGCGCUGAAUCUGGGUCACUGCAAGGUAAACGCCACAACAUCAGACCGACAUCCGCGUCAAUUAAAGAGGCGAUACAGCAAGACCAUGGUGGAUCAGCAAGUUACUGAGACUGUUUUCAUUAUUUAGCCCAGAAGAGUAAAAUAAUGAAAACACAGUAGCAGAGG